CCUGCCUUUCAUGUGACGAAGGAUGGAGCCGCUCAAUUAAAAGCCUAUCAAAGUUGAUAAGAGUGAGAAGAACACACCCAGAGAGUGAAAGACAAGUUCUCUUCUGACCUGCAGCCUCCCUGAGGUAAAGUAGAACCACACACUGCCUUGCCUUGGUCAUGUGAUUUCUCUGUGUAGGGUUGAUGUUGUUGUGAUAAAUACUGUAGUGACUUGCUAUAGCUA
rnacentral:lncRNA from 8 species